GGGCUCCUGACUCCAGGUCCUGUGUGUUACCUCGAAAUAGCACUGGACUUGGAGUCAGAAGGCCU
rnacentral:pre_miRNA from 10 species